UGGGGAAUAUUGGGCAAUGGGGCGAAAGCCUGACCCAGCAACGCCGCGUGAAGGAAGAAGGUUUUCGGAUUGUAAACUUCUUUUAUCAGGGACGAAGAAAGUGACGGUACCUGAUGAAUAAGCCACGGCUAACUACGUGCCAGCAGCCGCGGUAAUACGUAGGUGGCAAGCGUUAUCCGGAUUUACUGGGUGUAAAGGGCGCGCAGGCGGGCCGGCAAGUUGGAAGUGAAAUCUAUGGGCUUAACCCAUAAACUGCUUUCAAAACUGCUGGUCUUGAGUGAUGGAGAGGCAGGCGGAAUUCCGUGUGUAGCGGUGAAAUGCGUAGAUAUACGGAGGAACACCAGUGGCGAAGGCGGCCUGCUGG
rnacentral:rRNA from 1 species